GACGAACGCUGGCGGCGUGCUUAACGCAUGCAAGUCGAACGGAAAGGCCCUGCUUUUGUUGGGUGCUCGAGUGGCGCACGGGUGAGUAACACGUGAGUAACCUGCCCUUGACUUUGGGAUAACUUCAGGAAACUGGGGCUAAUACCGGAUAGGAUCUCCUGCUGCAUGGUGGGGGUUGGAAAGUUUCGGCGGUUGGGGAUGGACUCGCGGCUUAUCAGCUUGUUGGUGGGGUAGUGGCUUACCAAGGCUUUGACGGGUAGCCGGCCUGAGAGGGUGACCGGCCACAUGGGGACUGAGAGACGGCCCAGACUCCUACGGGAGGCAGCAGUGGGGAAUAUUGCACAAUGGGCGGAAGCCUGAUGCAGCAACGCCGCGUGCGGGAUGACGGCCUUCGGGUUGUAAACCGCUUUCGCCUGUGACGAAGCGUGAGUGACGGUAAUGGGUAAAGAAGCACCGGCUAACUACGUG
rnacentral:rRNA from 1 species